UAAAACCAGCACCUCAAGUGGUCAGGAGGAUUAUUGGGCCUAAAGCAUCCGUAGCCGGCUCUGUAGGUUUUCGGUUAAAUCCAUGUGCUCAACGCAUGGGCUGCCGAAAAUACUGCAUAGCUAGGGAGUGGGAGAGGUAGACGGUACUCAGUAGGAAGGGGUAAAAUCCUUUGAUCUAUUGAUGACCACCUGUGGCGAAGGCGGUCUACCAGAACACGUUCGACGGUGAGGGAUGAAAGCUGGGGGAGCAAACCGGAUUAGAUACCCGGGUAGUCCCAGCUGUAAACGAUGCAGACUCGAUGAUGCAUUGGCAUAUAGCCAGUGCAGUGUCGCAGGGAAGCCGUUAAGUCUGCCGCCUGGGAAGUACGUACGCAAGUAUG
rnacentral:rRNA from 2 species